GACAUCACUAUGUUAGUUUAGUCGUUAGAUUUCUGGCAAAAACUGAUUAUUACUUAUCUUAUUUUAUUGAGAGUGGCAUUUUGAGUCAAGUGGUAUAAACUUAAUUUAGUCAGACGGAUUUUUUUUUUAAACAACCCGCCGAACUUUUUAGUCAAGUAGUAUAAACUUGUUUUGGUCAGACAAUAAAUUUCUAAACAUAACCCGGGUGUCUUUUUAAAUGAAGUAGUAUAACUUAAUUACAGUAAGACGCGAUAUUCAUGCAUAGUUUAUUUUAAUUAUUACACUGAUAGAAGGAUUUAUUUGCAUUUAAAAAUAUUUGUUAAUAGUUAACAAUUAGCGUUAUUGUUUUUUAUCGGUGGAACUGUAAUGUUGAUUAUUGGGAGUCUUAUUGUCAGUGGUUAUAUUGACACUAAGGGAUCCUAAUGUUUAUCCUGUUUAUCUCGGGUGGUUACCUCGUGAGAGUAGCGCUAAUGGCUUACCGAAAAAUUCCCGGGUAUUCUUUCGACGACAUCAUACCUGAAUUCGACUAAUUUUAAUUCUGUAAUUUUUGGACAAAUUAAAUAA